rnacentral:rRNA from 1 species
GUAGGGUGCAAGCGUUAAUCGGAAUUACUGGGCGUAAAGCGUGCGCAGGCGGUUUGUAAGUCUGUCGUGAAAGCCCCGGGGCUUAACCUGGGGAAUUGCGAUGGAGACUGCAAGGCUUGAAUCUGGCAGAGGGGGGUAGAAUUCCACGUGUAGCAGUGAAAUGCGUAGAGAUGUGGAGGAGCACCGAUGGCGAAGGCAGCCCCCUGGGUCAAGAUUGACGCUCAUGCACGAAAGCGUGGGGAGCAAACAGGAUUAGAUACCCUGGUAGUCCACGCCCUAAACGAUGUCUACUAGUUGUCGGGUCUUAAUUGACUUGGUAACGCAGCUAACGCGUGAAGUAGACCGCCUGGGGAGUACGGUCGCAAGAUUA